CACGUAGGGUGCGAGCGUUGUCCGGAAUUAUUGGGCGUAAAGAGCUCGUAGGCGGUGUGUCGCGUCGGCCGUGAAAACCUGCAGCUUAACUGUGGGCUUGCGGUCGAUACGGGCAUCACUGGAGUUCGGGCAGGGGAGACUGGAAUUCCUGGUGUAGCGGUGGAAUGCGCAGAUAUCAGGAGGAACACCGAGUGGCGAAGGCAGGU
rnacentral:rRNA from 1 species